GGGCCCACAUUCUCUUACCAAGUAAGUUGUUCUUGCAUUUUAUUUUCUUUGUUGCUUGUUUGGUGGUUGAGAUCUUAUGGUAUAGUAUUACUAGUGUUUUGUUGAAGUCAUUACUCCUGGAUUUGUGAGUGUAUGAGGUUAGUACAAGACCUUGAUAGUGUCUUUGCUGAAGUAACACUAGUAUUUGAGAGUUUUAUGAGAAAUUGAGUCAUUUUGAGUGAGGUGAUGUGAGGGAGAUGUUUGAAAGCCAUAGAAUUACAUGACAUAGCAUUUCCCACCAUUUAGACGUGAUUUGGACUCAAAGUAUGCAAAAAAGUGCAAAACAGCGAAUU
rnacentral:lncRNA from 1 species